rnacentral:ncRNA from 2 species
CUCUUAUCCGGAGUGGUGGAGGGACUGGCCCUAUGAAGCCCGGCAACCAGCUUUUGUUUUUCCUGAAAGUAUGGUGCUAAUUCCUGCAGAAGCAAAGCUUCUGGCAGAUAAGAG